GAGUUUGAUCUUGGCUCAGAACGAACGCUGGCGGCAUGCCUAACACAUGCAAGUCGAACGAGACCUUCGGGUCUAGUGGCGCACGGGUGCGUAACGCGUGGGAAUCUGCCCUUCGGUUCGGAAUAACUCAGGGAAACUUGAGCUAAUACCGGAUGAUGACUUCGGUCCAAAGAUUUAUCGCCGAGGGAUGAGCCCGCGUAGGAUUAGGUAGUUGGUGGGGUAAUGGCCCACCAAGCCGACGAUCCUUAGCUGGUCUGAGAGGAUGAUCAGCCACACUGGGACUGAGACACGGCCCAGACUCCUACGGGAGGCAGCAGUGGGGAAUAUUGGACAAUGGGCGCAAGCCUGAUCCAGCAAUGCCGCGUGAGUGAUGAAGGCCUUAGGGUUGUAAAGCUCUUUUACCUAGGGAUGAUAAUGACAGUACCUGGAGAAUAAGCUCCGGCUAACUCCGUGCCAGCAGCCGCCGUAAC
rnacentral:rRNA from 1 species